UUGCGCUAUUGGAUGAGCCUAAGUCGGAUUAGCUAGUUGGUGGGGUAAAGGCCUACCAAGGCGACGAUCCGUAGCUGGUCUGAGAGGAUGAUCAGCCACAUCGGGACUGAGACACGGCCCGAACUCCUACGGGAGGCAGCAGUGGGGAAUGUUGGACAAUGGGGGCAACCCUGAUCCAGCCAUGCCGCGUGUGUGAAGAAGGCUUUCGGGUUGUAAAGCACUUUCAGUAGGGAGGAAAACCUUAUGGUUAAUACCCAUGAGGCUUGACGUUACCUACAGAAGAAGCACCGGCUAACUCCGUGCCAGCAGCCGCGGUAAUACGGAGGGUGCAAGCGUUAAUCGGAAUUACUGGGCGUAAAGCGCGCGUAGGUGGUUUGGUAAGCGAGAUGUGAAAGCCCCGGGCUUAACCUGGGAACGGCAUUUCGAACUGUCAGACUAGAGUGUGGUAGAGGGUAGUGGAAUUUCCUGUGUAGCGGUGAAAUGCGUAGAUAUAGGAANGGAACACCAGUGGCGAAGGCGGCUACCUGGGCCAACACUGACACUGAGGUGCGAAAGCGUGGGGAGCAAACANGGAUUAGAUACCCUGGUAGUCCACGCCGUAAACGAUGUCAACUAGCCGUUGGGACUCUUGAAGUCUUAGUGGCGCAGCUAACGCACUAAGUUGACCGCCUGGGGAGUACGNGCCNNGNCAAGGUUAAAACUCAAAUGAAUUGACGGGGGCCCGCACAAGCGGUGGAGCAUGUGGUUUAAUUCGACGCAACGCGAAGAACCUUACCUGGCCUUGACAUCCAGAGAACUUUCCAGAGAUGGAUUGGUGCCUUCGGGAACUCUGAGACAGGUGCUGCAUGGCCGUCGUCAGCUCGUGUCGUGAGAUGUUGGGUUAAGUCCCGUAACGAGCGCAACCCCUAUCCCUGGUUGCUAGCAGGUAAUGCUGAGAACUCCAGGGAGACUGCCGGUGACAAACCGGAGGAAGGUGGGGAUGACGUCAGGUCAUCAUGGCCCUUACGGCCAGGGCUACACACGUGCUACAAUGGCGCGUACAGAGGGCUGCCAACUCGCGAGAGUGAGCCAAUCCCU
rnacentral:rRNA from 1 species